GGAACAGUGAUUCCCAUUGAUCCUUGUCCCCUCCGUGGGUCACAGAGUCCAGAACUUAAGAGCCACCCAAGAUCUGAAGACAGCAUGUACACAGCCAUUCCCCAGAGUGGCUCUCCAUUCCCAGGCUCAGUGCAGGAUCCAGGCCUGCAUGUGUGGCGGGUGGAGAAGCUGAAGCCGGUGCCCGUGGUGCGAGAGAACCAGGGCAUCUUCUUCUCGGGGGACUCCUACCUAGUGCUGCACAAUGGCCCAGAAGAGGUUUCCCAUCUGCACCUGUGGAUAGGCCAGCAGUCAUCCCGGGAUGAGCAGGGGGCCUGUGCCGUCCUGGCUGUGCACCUCAACACGCUGCUGGGAGAGCGGCCUGUGCAGCACCGCGAGGUGCAGGGCAAUGAGUCUGACCUCUUCAUGAGCUACUUCCCACGAGGCCUCAAGUACCAGGAAGGUGGUGUGGAGUCAGCAUUUCACAAGACCUCCACAGGAGCCCCAGCUGCCAUCAAGAAACUCUACCAGGUGAAGGGGAAGAAGAACAUCCGUGCCACCGAGCGGGCACUGAACUGGGACAGCUUCAACACUGGGGACUGCUUCAUCCUGGACCU
rnacentral:sRNA from 1 species